GUGGCUCAUUGGUGAAGCAUAGGACUUGCAUGCCUGAAGUCCCGGGUUCAAUUCCUGGC
rnacentral:tRNA from 1 species